rnacentral:lncRNA from 1 species
UGUACUAUUUAUAGAUAAUAUACUAAAAAGGCGCUAUAAUGUCAAUGGACACCUGCCAUCGCCAGCCCUUCUCCCUCUCUCUUUUUUACCUGCAAUACAAAAAAUUAAUACACUAAUAAUCUCCAUACAGCACAAUAAUAAUAUUUACUAGUUUAUUUAUUUCUAUAUUUUAAUUGUUGAAUGGGUAUUAAAUUCAGUCAAUUCUAAAUCACAAUAUCUUAUACAUUUAUCAUGUAUUUUUUCUGCUGCACAUUCAAACCCUAUAAUUAUAACAAAAGUACGGUCCGUAUGAAAUAACGCACACGGCAAAAAACUGUUUUUGGUUGUUUAUUGGGUGUGGGUGGGGGUAGAGGUCCAACAGACAGUUUCCUGCGAGCCAUAUAUUGUUACCACUCAA